UACGGAGGGUCCAAGCGUUAUCCGGAUUUAUUGGGUUUAAAGGGUCCGCAGGCGGGAAAAUAAGUCAGUGGUGAAAUCCUACAGCUUAACUGUAGAACUGCCAUUGAUACUGUUUUUCUUGAGUAUAAUUGAAGUGGGCGGAAUGUGUCAUGUAGCGGUGAAAUGCAUAGAUAUGACACAGAACACCGAUUGCGAAGGCAGCUCACUAAAUUACAACUGACGCUCAUGGACGAAAGCGUGGGGAGCAAACAGGAUUAGAUACCCUAGUAGU
rnacentral:rRNA from 1 species